AUUGAACGCUGGCGGCAGGCCUAACACAUGCAAGUCGAGCGGUAGAGAGAAGCUUGCUUCUCUUGAGAGCGGCGGACGGGUGAGUAAUGCCUAGGAAUCUGCCUGGUAGUGGGGGAUAACGUUCGGAAACGGACGCUAAUACCGCAUACGUCCUACGGGAGAAAGCAGGGGACCUUCGGGCCUUGCGCUAUCAGAUGAGCCUGGGUCGGAUUAGCUAGUUGGUGAGGUAAUGGCUCACCAAGGCGACGAUCCGUAACUGGUCUGAGAGGAUGAUAAGGCACCCUGGAACUGAGACACGGUCCAGACUCCUACGGGAGGCAGCAGUGGGGAAUAUUGGACAAUGGGCGGAAGCCUGAUCCAGCCAUGCCGCGUGUGUGAAGAAGGUCUUCGGAUUGUAAAGCACUUUAAGUUGGGAGGAAGGGUUGUAGAUUAAUACUCUGCAAUUUUGACGUUACCGACAGAAUAAGCACCGGCUAACUCUGUGCCAGCCGCCGCGGUAA
rnacentral:rRNA from 1 species